AUUGAACGCUGGCGGCAGGCUUAACACAUGCAAGUCGAGCGGGGGAGAUUGCUUCGGUAAUUGACCUAGCGGCGGACGGGUGAGUAAUACUUAGGAAUCUGCCUAUUAAUGGGGGACAACAUCUCGAAAGGGAUGCUAAUACCGCAUACGCCCUACGGGGGAAAGCAGGGGAUCACUUGUGACCUUGCGUUAAUAGAUGAGCCUAAGUCGGAUUAGCUAGUUGGUGGGGUAAAGGCCUACCAAGGCGACGAUCUGUAGCGGGUCUGAGAGGAUGAUCCGCCACACUGGGACUGAGACACGGCCCAGACUCCUACGGGAGGCAGCAGUGGGGAAUAUUGGACAAUGGGGGGAACCCUGAUCCAGCCAUGCCGCGUGUGUGAAGAAGGCCUUAUGGUUGUAAAGCACUUUAAGCGAGGAGGAGGCUCUUCUAGUUAGUACCUAGGAUGAGUGGACGUUACUCGCAGAAUAAGCACCGGCUAACUCUGUGCCAGCCGCCGCCGUAACAC
rnacentral:rRNA from 1 species